CUCUAGGAUUCCCAUCAUCCAUUUUUUGGAGGAGAAUUUAUCCUCUGCCUUUCUUGGAAGCCUCCUCCAGCCCCAAAUGUGCCAUUGCUCUGGGAUUUUGCACACCACCAAGUGGAUACUGGGAGGAGCCAGGUUUGAGCCAUCUCCAGAGGCUGCCUGUUAAAGUGAAUGGCCCCCAGCAAGCAGAAGGAGACUGUGGGUCAUCACUAGAGGACAGAACCUGAGGAGGCUGCUCCAUGACUGCCGAAACUAUGUCUGUCUUUUCACUGUGGAUCUGAAUUUCUUCUCCACAGUGCCUCCUAAUCCUGGACAACAGAACAUUGCUGGACAACCAUGGCAAAGCUGAGCUCAGUGGGCUCACCAUGGAUUUACUCUGAUCUGCAUUACUUAGAUCAUUAAUGUCAAUCCCUUUUUUCCCAGUAGCUUUAUGUCUGUUCACAUCAUUUCAUUCUCAAUUGCACUAGCUCUGUGCUUUUACCCUUAGCUGUUAUCCUCACCCUCUAUCUAAACAAGAGCUCCUUUGAUUUCCUUCCUCCUCACUUUAAAAUUUUCUUUUGCCUUUGAUCGUUCUCUUAUUUUUCUCAUCCUGUCUCAGGAAUGCUCUUUCUUCCCAAGGCUAUGCCUUCCUCUCUGUAUGGAUCCUGUCCCCUCCUGGCUUUCCAGGACUACUGCAUGAAUUACCUUCUAUUUUCUUGCAUCUUCAGUGUCACCCUUUUCAUGAGCUCUGCAACAGUCCUAUUGCCCAAGCUCUAGAAAAUCCCCCUCUUAAAUUAUUGUAUUUCUAGCCUUUCAUUUACUAUCUCAUUUCUCAAAAGUGCAAUAAACAUGUAAUUUCCCUUUUUCUA